rnacentral:rRNA from 1 species
UACGGGGGGGGCAAGCGUUGUUCGGAAUUACUGGGCGUAAAGGGUUCGUAGGUGGCCUACUAAGUCAGACGUGAAAUCCCUCAGCUUAACUGGGGAACUGCGUCUGAUACUGGAGGGCUUGAGUGCAGGAGAGGAACGCGGAAUUCCAGGUGUAGCGGUGAAAUGCGUAGAUAUCUGGAGGAACACCGGUGGCGAAGGCGGCAUCCUGGACCGGCAUUGACGCUGAGGCGCGAAAGCUAGGGGAGCAAACGGG